rnacentral:rRNA from 1 species
UGAAUACUCAGCCUGUAUACCUCCGUCGCAAGCUUACCAUGUGAACGCACUCAGUGAGCCGAAAGAUCCAGCACCAAUACGUCAGGUCAAGGUGCAGCCCACGAGGCGGAAAGAAAUGGGCUACAAUUUUUAUCAUAGAACAAACGAAAGACUUCAUGAAACACAGUCACUGAAGGCGGAUUUAGUAGUAAAAAGAAAAUAGAGAGUUCUUUUUAAUCAGGCACUGGGACGCGUACACACCGCCCGUCACCCUCUUCAAAUAACAAACAUAAGUUACUAACACCCCACAAUCCAACAGAAGAGGUAAGUCGUAACAUGGUAAGCGUACUGGAAAGUGCGCUUGGAACAACAAAAUGUAGCUUAACAAAAGCAUCUUGCUUACACCAAGAAUAUGUCUGUAAAACCCUGACCACUUUGAGCUUAAAGCUUAGCCCAAUCAAACCUAAUGAAACAAAUUUACUCACAAACAAACAAAUAAAACAUUUUCUUAACCAAGUAAAGGCGAUUAAAAAGUACCUAGGAGCCUUAAUAUUAGUAC